GCGGAUGACCGACUAGUACUCUUAAUAGAGUAGUAUAUAUUUACUUUUAUCAGCCUCACUAGUCACUUCCUUGUUGCGGCGGCGGCUUGCCGAGUCAGCCGGUGUCGUCUUCCACCGUCCUAUCCUCGCCGCAAGCCGCAUACGGCGUUGCCUCCUGAUCUCCCCAGUCGAGUCGGUACACCUGCGGCCGCGUUUCUAGAGGUUAGUGCCAUUGCUCAAUCCUCAAGUUGGGGGUCCUAAGGGUGUGUCGAGGUGUUCGCCGAACCACGGGGAAACCGUACGCGCGCUCGGACCGUAGAGACUAGCACUCGAACGGCGGGAAUUGCUCGUCGGCCGUCAUCCUCCGCCGUGUAGCCGCCCCGCUCCGUGGCACUGAUCAUCGUUGCUCCUUCCUCAGGUA